rnacentral:rRNA from 1 species
GAUGAACGCUGGCGGCGUGCCUAAUACAUGCAAGUCGAGCGAACAGACGAGGAGCUUGCUCCUCUGACGUUAGCGGCGGACGGGUGAGUAACACGUGGAUAACCUACCUAUAAGACUGGGAUAACUUCGGGAAACCGGAGCUAAUACCGGAUAAUAUAUUGAACCGCAUGGUUCAAUAGUGAAAGACGGUUUUGCUGUCACUUAUAGAUGGAUCCGCGCCGCAUUAGCUAGUUGGUAAGGUAACGGCUUACCAAGGCAACGAUGCGUAGCCGACCUGAGAGGGUGAUCGGCCACACUGGAACUGAGACACGGUCCAGACUCCUACGGGAGGCAGCAGUAGGGAAUCUUCCGCAAUGGGCGAAAGCCGGACGGAGCAACGCCGCGUGAGUGAUGAAGGUCUUCGGAUCGUAAAACUCUGUUAUUAUGGAAGUACAAAUGUGUAAGUAACUAUGCACGUCUUGACGGUACCUAAUCAGAAAGCCACGGCUAACUACGUG